UAUCUGGUUGAUCCUGCCAGUAGUCAUAUGCUUGUCUCAAAGAUUAAGCCAUGCAUGUCUAAGUACAAACCUUAAUACGGUGAAACGCGAAUGGCUCAUUAAAUCAGCUAUGGUUCCUUAGAUCGUCUCAAUCCUACUCGGAUAACUGUGGAAAAUCUAGAGCUAAUACGUGCUUACAAGCCCUGACCUCACGGGAGGGCGCAUUUAUUAGAUCAAAA
rnacentral:ncRNA from 1 species